AUAAAUGAAGUAGAAAUUAUUUCAUACUUUUUAGUGCAUUUCAAAGUCGGUUGUAUUUUUUGUUACAAAUUAUUUUAUUCUGAUUUUCUGCUAACCCUUUAGAAUUAGUAGUAAUUGAUGUAUUAAUCUCUUCCAGACAGGAAAAAGCAUCCGUCACAAUGUUUCCAUUACCUGAUACAUGAGUAAUGUCUGUGGAAAAUUGUGAAAUGAAAUUUAAUUGACGCUGCUAGCGAGAAGAAAUCUUUUCUGCGCGUUUGCUGAAAGCAUAAAUCAAUGGCUUGUAAUCAAAUUAACGGCCUUGCAGCAAAUGUCGGAAAUGUCUGACUGAAUCGUAAAUUGCUAAUAAUUCUCUGUCAUAGACGCUGAACUGAAGUUCUUCAAGUGGGUACCAGUGAUUGUUAUCGAACUGUUCGACGACUGCUCCGAUACCUGUGUCCGAAGCGUCAGUUCUGAACUGCAGUGAAGCACAAGAAAAGGAAUUAACAUGUCUGGUUGCUGAAGCUAAACUGCUUUUGUAUUCUUCAAAAGCACGUUACGCUUCAAGAGUCCAUUGAAUGAGAAUCUUGUCUCCUUUUUUACUUUUUGUAAGAAAUGAAUACAGAGGAGCUUGAAUGUAUGCUGCAUCUUUAAGAAAACGACAAUAGAAAUUGAUUACUGCAAGAAAACGACGGAGUUUCGCUACUGUAGUUGGCUUUGGAUAAUUCUGAAUAAUCUUCACUUUGCCAGUUGAAUUAAGAUGCGAAGAUGUCUCUUAUGUUCUUCCUAAUUCCUAGUGGCUAUAAGGAUAUCAUCUAAAUAACAAUGAACAAAACCUAGUCCUCGAAGAGCAAAAUCCAUAAGUCUUUGAAAAGUUUGAGCUGCGUUUCUUAAUCCAAAAGGCACGUCAACGAAUUCAAAAUGUCCGAACGGAGUUGUUACUGCAGCCUUCGGAAUGUCUUUUUCUGCAACAGGUGUCGGACGACGUGGACGUUUCACAGUAGGAGGGCCUUUAGUAACAAUACGAUGGCUGACUUGAUGUGCUUCAGGCAAUUAUGAGAAGAGUUUGCCGAAUGAAUUGUCUUUCUCCACUGUAGAUAAAUUCGCUGUAAUAAGAAUAGGAAUACCUGGUGAAUUUUGCGACUUCCGCUAUAAGGAACUGGAUCCCAAAAUUACCAAAUCUACCAAGUCUGAGGUCAACUAUUUUAGUAAUUACACCGUAAGAUACAUCAGCACCUGUGUCCACUAGAUAUCAUGUUCCACAAGUACGAUCUAUGAUGAAAAGACGGCUUUUUGAUUACGGACCAUUGCCUACCGUCACUACAGGCAAUGAUCGUCGGAGUUUGCCAAUCGUUGAAUGAAAUUACAUGAGAAACGCUUCCUUGAAUUUGAUCGAUCUCGGCGAUACUUAAUAAAUGGCGUAUCUCAAAAUUUAUUGCGGCGAAUAUUAAAUGAAACGGCUUCAACCAUGCGACUCAAUUCUUCAACUUUUUCAGCUAAUGAAUCAUUAUUCGAAUAAGAAUUUGAAAAAACUGGUGUUGGAUUAA